UACGUAGGUGGCAAGCGUUAUCCGGAAUUACUGGGCGUAAAGCGCACGCAGGCGGUCUGUUAAGUUUGACGUGAAAGCUCCCGGCUUAACUGGGAGAGGUCGUUGAAGACUGGCAGACUUGAGGCGAUGAGAGGGGUGUAGAAUUCCCGGUGUAGUGGUGGAAUGCGUAGAUAUCGGGGGGAAUGCCAGUGGCGAAAGCGGCACCCUAGCGUUAGCCUGACGCUCAUGUGCGAAAGCGUGGGGAGCGAACGGG
rnacentral:rRNA from 1 species